rnacentral:rRNA from 1 species
GAUGAACGCUGGCGGCGUGCUUGAUACAUGCAAGUCGAACGGAGAGUGUAGCAAUAUACUUUUAGUGGCGAACGGGUGAGUAACGCGUUGGUGACCUGCCCCGAAGCGAGGGAUAACAGUUCGAAAGAACUGCUAAUACCUCAUGUGAUCACCGGUUUUAGAAUCUGGUGAUUAAAGGUGAAAAUCACUUCGGGAGGGGCCUGCGUCCCAUCAGCUAGUUGGUAAGGUAAUGGCUUACCAAGGCGAUGACGGGUAGGGGACCUGAGAGGGUGGCCCCCCCACAAUGGAACUGAAACACGGUCCAUACACCUACGGGUGGCAGCAGUAGGGAAUAUUGCAAAUGGGCGAAAGCCUGAUGUAGCAACGCCGCGUGUGCGAUGAAGGUCUUCGGAUUGUAAAGCACUUUUUGGAGGGAUGAGGAAGGACAGUACCUCCAGAAUAAGCCUCGGCUAACUACGUG